rnacentral:rRNA from 1 species
AGCAGCCGCGGUAAUUCCAGCUCCAAUAGCGUAUAUUAAAGUUGCUGCAGUUAAAAAGCUCGUAGUUGAAUUUCGGGACCAUCAUGUCGGUCGUGCCUCGGUACGUACUGGCAUUGUUGGUUUCUCCCUUCUGACGAACCAUGAUGUCAUUUAUUUGGUGUCGUGGGAAAUCAGGACUGUUACUUUGAAAAAAUUAGAGUGUUUAAAGCAGGCUCACGCUUGAAUACAUUAGCAUGGAAUAAUGAAAUAGGACGUUUGAUUCUAUUUUGUUGGUUUCUAGGAUCGACGUAAUGAUUAAUAGGGAUAGUUGGGGGCAUUAGUAUUCAAUUGUCAGAGGUGAAAUUCUUGGAUUUAUUGAAGACUAACUACUGCGAAAGCAUUUGCCAAGGAUGUUUUCAUUAAUCAAGAACGAAAGUUAGGGGAUCGAAGACGAUCAGAUACCGUCGUAGUCUUAACCAUAAACUAUGCCGACUAGGGAUCGGAUGAUGUUAAUUUUUUAAUGACUCAUUCAGCGCCUUACG